GGAAGUAAAAGUCGUAACAAGGUUUCCGUAGGUGAACCUGCGGAAGGAUCAUUAAAGUGUUUCGGAGCCUGGUCCGGGCAUCUCAACUUGAGGUGUCUGUGCCAGCGCCCCCACACGUGUUUACUCAACUUGGUUGCCUUGGUGAGCCUGCCCUCGUGGCUGCCGGGGAUGCCUCACGGCGUCUCGGGCUCGCGCUCACCAGUGGAUCAAUUGAACUCUUCAUGUAUACAGUCAGUCUGAGCAUUAUGCAAAUUAAACAAAACUUUCAACAACGGAUCUCUUGGUUCCGGCAUCGAUGAAGAACGCAGCGAAAUGCGAUAAGUAAUGUGAAUUGCAGAAUUCCGUGAAUCAUCGAAUCUUUGAACGCACAUUGCGCCCUCUGGUAUUCCGGGGGGCAUGCCUGUUCGAGCGUCAUUGCAACCCCUCAAGCACGGCUUGUGAGUUGGGCCAUCGUCCCCAGUGGACGGGCCUGAAAUGCAGUGGCAGCACCGAGUCCUGGUGUCUGAGUGUAUGGGAAUCUCUAUCGCUCAAAGACCCAAUCGGCGCUGAUGUCAAUAUCUUUAUCCAGUUUUGACCUCGGAUCAGGUAGGAGUACCCGCUGAACUUAAGCAUAUCAAUAAGCGGAGGA
rnacentral:sRNA from 1 species